rnacentral:lncRNA from 1 species
CAAAAACAUCUCUCACUUGAUUAAUGACAUUAUCCCCAUCCCUAUCCUCUGAGUUAAAAUCCUCAGGGUCAUUUUCCAUUCCCUCAUCUCCCUUUACUGACAGAAGCCAUCAGUCACUCAUUCUUGUUAUUUCGAUUUCCUUAAAAAUCAUAAAAUCACUCUUCUCUAUGCCAAAUGAAGUCGUCUCAGUUUAGGCUCUAUAUUAGGAUACUAGCUAAGAUUUGGUGAAAAGGGGUCCCCAAAUACAAGGAUGCCUGGUGGUCCAGAGAAGGUUAUUUUGCUUCCUGAGGUCCUUUAAGAACCAGAUUCCUUCUCAGCUGUUUCAUUUUCACCAUGCAUGCGAUCAGGGCUGUCUUAUCUGUAAUUUCCAAGUUCUGGCUGGGAGGAGGAGAAAAAGAGAGGUGAGCUAAUGCCAGUAAGUAUGUCCAAUUUAAACUUAAAAGUUACUGAAUUUGCAGGUAUCAUUUUGCAGGGGCCUUUGGAAAAGGUGAAUCCUUUGGAAAAGGUAGAAACGAGCAAUUACACACGGAGAGACCCCAUCUGGCUGGAUUUCUCAUUCCUCAUCACAUUAGCCCUCUCAGAACUUUUCACUCCACGGCCUUUAACUUUGACUUGAACGUAUCAGCCUUGAGGUACAGCUACUUGCUAUUAUAUUAUUAACAACAAGAAGAAAGAACAACAAUAGUUUUUGCAAGUUUAGCAUCUAUUACAAGUUAGGUGAUUAAUCUUUACAAAAACUCUACAGGUCUGUAUGUUAUUAGCCCUAAUUGAAGAAAUUGAGACAGGUUCAAUAAUUUGCCCACGCCCACUCUGCUGGUGCACAGGAGUUCGGAUUGGAAAGGAGGUUUGUUGCAUGUCAGAGUUCAUGCUCUUUCUUCUGAACGCAUGUCUAUUUUCAAAGAUGUCAUGUUUUCCCAGCUAAUAUUCGCGUGUUAUUGUAGUUAAGAAUUGAGUCUGAAAUCAGUCAAAGUUGAGUUCAGCUAGUGGCUCUUAAAUAAGUGAGCUUCUAUCAAUCUGUUUUUCUAUCUAUAAAAUAAGGACACUAGUACCUACUUCAUAAUAAGACUAAAGUUAUUGAAAUAAUUCCUGUAAAACACAAUGAAUUCC